rnacentral:rRNA from 1 species
GACGAACGCUGGCGGCGUGCCUAAUACAUGCGAGUCGAACGCACAGUUUAUACCGUAGCUUGCUACACCAUAGACUGUGAGUUGCGAACGGGUGAGUAACGCGUAGGUAACCUGCCUGGUAGCGGGGGAUAACUAUUGGAAACGAUAGCUAAUACCGCAUAAUAUUAAUUAUUGCAUGAUAAUUAAUUGAAAGGUGCAAUUGCACCACUACCAGAUGGACCUGCGUUGUAUUAGCUAGUAGGUGAGGUAACGGCUCACCUAGGCGACGAUACAUAGCCGACCUGAGAGGGUGAUCGGCCACACUGGGACUGAGACACGGCCCAGACUCCUACGGGAGGCAGCAGUAGGGAAUCUUCGGCAAUGGACGAAAGUCUGACCGAGCAACGCCGCGUGAGUGAAGAAGGUUUUCGGAUCGUAAAGCUCUGUUGUAAGAGAAGAACGGGUGUGAGAGUGGAAAGUUCACACUGUGACGGUAUCUUACCAGAAAGGGACGGCUAACUACGU